GCAAAUCGAAUAUAAGUAGUUAUCAACCUUUGCAAGCAUACUUCAAUUUAUAAAUCAUAACCUAUACUUAUUUAUUAAAUUAAAGCAUAUCAUACAUAUCACUUAUAUAUAUUUAUAUAUAUCACCUAACCAAUGUGAAUUAGCUUAACAUUGUUUGUUAUAAUACAUAUAUCAAACAUACUUGUACCUUAUAAUUUAAUCCUGAAUCUCAUAUAUGAAACAUCACCAAAAAUAUAUAUGUACUAUACCAUAUAAUUACUAUCUAUCUACGAUUAAACGACG
rnacentral:lncRNA from 1 species